rnacentral:rRNA from 1 species
AUGCGCCAACGAAAGUGGCAAGGAAACCCUGUAUGUUCCUUUUGUCAUCAGAUUGAAACAUCCCAGCACUUAUUCUUUGGUUGCUCUGUGGCCAAGGUUGUUUGGCGAUCGAUUGGGGUCACGCUUGGGACAGAUUUGUGCCCUAGUAGUUACUGGCAAUUCUUUGUCUGGUGCUACUCCUUCUUGCCUGGAUAUGAAUUCUUCUAUACUGUGGCGCUUGGGGCGGUCACUUGGGCCAUCUGGCUGGCUCGUAAUAGAGCUACUUUUGAGAAAAAAAUGAUCAAAUCUCCUUUUGAGAUUGUCAUUACGGCAUUGUCUUUUCUCUUGUAUUGGGCAGGUUUGCAGGCGGGAGAAGACAUCAAGCAACUUCGAGCGGGUGCUGAGAUGAUUCGCAACGGGACCAUGCUGCUGAUGAGGGUCUGCGAUGCGUCCAAUGGAAAGUGA